UGAGGAACAUGACCUUCGGCGGGGGAUAGCCGGCCCAACGGCCGGGUAAUACCGCGUACGACCACUUUGGGACAUCCCUCGGUGGUGAAAGCAGCAAUGCGCCGAUGGAGUGCCUCGCGGCCUAUCAGCUAGUUGGUGAGGUAACGGCUCACCAAGGCGACGGCGGGUAGCUGGUCUGAGAGGAUGGCCAGCCACAGUUGGGACUGAGACACCGGCCCAGACCUCCGUACGGGAGCAG
rnacentral:rRNA from 1 species